rnacentral:rRNA from 1 species
GCAGCCGCGGUAAUACGGAGGAUGCGAGCGUUAUCCGGAUUUAUUGGGUUUAAAGGGUGCGCAGGCGGCGGAUCAAGUCAGCGGUCAAACUUCGGGGCUCAACCCCGUUUUGCCGUUGAAACUGAUCGGCUGGAGUCUGUUCGAGGGACGCGGAAUGCGAGGUGUAGCGGUGAAAUGCAUAGAUAUCACGCAGAACUCCGAUUGCGAAGGCAGCGUCCCGGGGCGGCACUGACGCUGAGGCACGAAAGUGUGGGUAUCGAACAGGAUUAGAUACCCC